rnacentral:rRNA from 1 species
AAUGAACGCUGGCGGCAGGCCUAAAACAUGCAAGUCGAACGCUGUAGCAAUACAGAGUGGCGCACGGGUGAGUAACAUGUGGGAAUAUGCCUUUUGGUACGGAACAACUUUUGGAAACGAAAGCUAAUACCGUAUGGUCCCUUCGGGGUAAAGAUUUAUCGCCAAAAGAUUAGCCCGCAUUAGAUUAGCUAGUUGGUGUGGUAACGGCGCACCAAGGCGACGAUCUAUAGCUGUUCUGAGAGGAAGAUCAGCCACACUGGGACUGAGACACGGCCCAGACUCCUACGGGAGGCAGCAGUUAGGAAUAUUGGACAAUGGGCGCAAGCCUGAUCCAGCCAUGCCGCGUGAACGAUGAAGGCCUUCGGGUUGUAAAGUUCUUUAGCCGAUGAUUAUAAUGACUGUAGUCGGAAAUAAGACCCGGCUAACUUCGUGCCAGCAGCCGCGGUAAU